UCGAACGAGAAAGCGGGGGCAACUCCGUGAGUAAAGUGGCGACCGGGUGAGUAACACGUGACUAACCUGCCCUCUGGUGGGGAAUAACGUCGGGAAACCGGGGCUAAUACCGCAUAACGUCCGCGGGUGCAACUCCUGCGGACCAAGGGAGCAAUUCGCCGGAGGAGGGGGUCGCGGCUGAUUAGCUAGUUGGCGGGGUAACGGCCCACCAAGGCGAUGAUCAGUAGCCGGCCUGAGAGGGCGCACGGCCACACUGGAACUGAAACACGGUCCAGACUCCUACGGGAGGCAGCAGUGGGGAAUUUUGCGCAAUGGGGGAAACCCUGACGCAGCAACGCCGCGUGGAGGAUGAGGUCCCUUGGGACGUAAACUCCUUUCGACCGGGACGAAUGAUGACGGUACCGGUGGAAGAAGCCCCGGCUAACUCCGUG
rnacentral:rRNA from 1 species